rnacentral:SRP_RNA from 1 species
GCACAGGAGCAGGUAACCCAAGUGGGGGCUUUGAGGUGCUGGAACAUUGGCCCAGUAUUUGCUGGUCGGGUUCAGGUUGGCUAUCUUCUGGCCCGCCCAUUCCAAGCCAGGAGUUGAACCUUGUGGCUUGAGCGAAGGCUCUCGGUCACUGGGUUGCUAGAGAGGAGGGCACUGUGCAAGGCUGGCUUCACAGGAGCUUGCAUCUCAACCUCAGUUGACAGAGAAACGAGGCAUGGCUGGAACGUUUCGAAGAUGCUUGCUCUGUUGUACAACAGCAAUGGUCACGUUA